UUCUGAAUUUGUUUAGAAUGGCUUUUGGUUGGGAAGCUUUUCAUGGUCUCAACACUAAAGCUGCUAAUUUAGAAAAAAACCAUUUGAGACUUCUGGCCAAAGACAGCAGGUUAAACGCAUGCAUUGUGAUCCACUCCCUCCUAGAACUCAACCAGGAGUUAAUGUUUGAUGAAGUAAUAUAUUCACAUGGUUCUAAAACAAAAAAAAAAAAAAAAAAAGAAAAGUGAAAAGGCACAGAGCAAAAAGUUUUCCUCAUCCAUGUCUCCCAUUGGCUCAGGUCCCACCUUCCUCCUGUCCAUAAGUAAGCACUGUUACUAGCUUCUUAGUUGUUUCCAGAGUCUCUUUAUGCCCAAGUAAGCAAAUAAGAACUUAAAUAACUGGAUUUUUUUAAAGGAUGAACCUACAGGGACAAAGAGAAUAUGAAAAGGACAACAGGAUAAUUUAAAACCUGGAACAUAGAUGAAUGAGUGGUCACUGGAUCAAGACUCCCGAGAAAGCUGAAUCCAAGCCAGCAGAUGAGAAAGUUAAUGCAACCUGCUUUACAUUUCAGAAUCUCCAUGAGCUCAGCAAUUUGUGGCAACAUGUACUUUUGUGAGUACUUUGGGAGUAAAGCUGUGCCUAAAAACAAAAGGAAACUACUGGAGGAUGUGCUCCACCAGAACAAUGGAGUGAAUGUAGCAAGGGGAAGAAGUGGAAUCCAGGAAGUAGGAUAUUCAGCACAGGAGGUGAAGGGAAUCCCCAGAUUGGACUGAAGGGAGAUGGGAAGUUUACAAGUGUACAGCAGGCUGAGAGAUCAGUCAGCCCAGAAAGGAGCGAGUCAGAAAGCUCUGGAAAACCUUUCAAGAUGAAAUUUAAUGAGUACCAUAUUUGUCUGAGCAUGUUGAGAGGAUUCUUAACUGGAAAAGAACAGGAUUAAAUUCAUGACAUAUGCAUAGGAAAUUUAAGCAAUGAAAAAUGAGAUAGUUAUUAACUCCAGAGAAAGCAAAAUGUUUUUCAGGGAAGUGAUCAUAAUUUCUUAUACAACACAGGUGUGAAUAGUAUUUAUUUGGUCAAAAAUAAUGUAAACACUAGAAUAUCAAUCUAAUAAUGUUAUAGGUGUAUAUAUCCAGGAAAUAUACAUGUCUGUGGAAUAGCAAGGGGUAAAGCUAAAUUCCCAUUUUCCACAGUGGGAAGUCAAUAGAUAAAAUCAGGAAGUAGCUGUUUAGAGAGAUGAUGAUUCCAAAAUAGAUAAAUAAAUACUGGAUUCAUAAAGCACUGAAGGGUGAGAAAUGGGAGUGAGGCAUGCAGUGGGGGCUAUUUAGUAAUGGACAAUGAUUUCUUUUUUUUUUUAACUAUGCAUAUUUAAUUUUGAUAUAAAUAACUAAAUAAAUAUCAGUAAUUUAUCUUUUUUCUUCUACUGUAUGAAAAAGGGAAAAGGUGAGAUGGGGAAUGUGCAUCACUCCUAGCCAGUAAGGAAGCUGGGAAGGUAAAGUGAAACUUUCUGGCCAGCAGGGCUAUUGUCUUUCCACCUCCUGUUGAGGCAGGAAAAAAAAUUAUGAGCAGCUGGGAAGUUAAGGACUAUGAAUCUUUAGAAGAGCUGUUGAUGCCAGACUGACUUGAAAUGUGUGGCUGUCCUAGGAGGGUUCUGAUCCAAGGAAAUGAUCCAAGGUAAGUGCAAAGAAAAGACUCUACCAAACACAGAAAUAAAACUGGGACUAUGUUAAGAGUGCUAUUAAUAAUAAAUUGUAUCUGGAUAUGAAUUUCUUAAAAUUUUACUUCAAAUGCCCAUUGCCUUAAAAUCCAGAAUUUAAAAAUAUGGCUUUUUGAUUUAUAAUUUUAAUUAAAAAAAAAAAAAAAGGAACUACUUUGCCCAGGGUUUUGACUAGCCAUACCCGUGACUGAAAUCACAUUGCUUAGGUCUGCGGCCCUACCGAGACAGCAGAGUCUGCCACUCUAACCAAGGCAAAAAGCCCGUGGGAAUGAGGCCCCCUGUGAGCACACUAGUCCUCCUUUCUCCUCCUGUCUUCAGUCUCUACCACUGGCUCCUUCUCAGACAAGAAAAUGCUCAGAAAUUUUCCCACUUAAAAUAAACAGAAAAAUUCUCCCGUUAGCUAUGAUCUCAACCUUCUCUUUUCCUCCAUCACAGCACUCCUAACGCAUGUGUGCCGACGGCCUCCUCCUCUUUUCCUUCCUCGCCACAGGCUACUUCUUCAGCCCAGGCAGCCUCGCUCCCCCUCUGACCCCGCACGGAGCCUGCUCCCCCAGGGCUCUCCACGGGCUUCUUCCUCGCUAAACCCCUCUGUCCUCUUCAGUCCUCAUCCUUCUCUCCGAAUCCUUCCCCAUCCCUUUGUUCUGUGUCUGUCUUCUUUUCUGGUUUUCCUACUUCUCUUACUCUCUGACUGCCCGCUGCCCUCUAGAGCUGCCUCUAAAGAAUAGGUAUCCACAGAGAUCGCCUGCCUCCCUGCAAGAUCUGGGAUCUGCCUGUCUGCAGCCUCCUGUGUGCCCUGUCCUCCUUGCUCAUAACCCUCCAUUGGCGCUGGUGUUUCUCUCAGUUCCUCUAAUGCACCCAGCUCUUCUUGCCUGGGGGCCUGUUCCCUCUACCUGGAACCCUCUUCCCCACCCCACACACCACCCCUCCAUCUGGCUGUCUCCAACCCAACCUUCAGGGCUCCAGUUUGCUAUCACUUCCUCACAGUGCCCCUCCCUAUGUGCCUCCUCUCCCACCCCCACCAAACUAAAUCAGUUUCCCCACUGUUCUAUCUUAGAAAUCCCCUUUUUUCAGAUUAUUCAUACAGUUUAAAAUUAUAGACUUUUGUUGUAUGUUUCUAUGCUUAAAUAUCUACCUUUCUCUCCAGAGUGUAAGUUCCAUGAGGACAGGAGCCACAUCAGUUUUGUUUACCAUUGUAAACAUAGCCUCAACACAGUCCCUGGAAUGGGAGAUACUAAAUAACUGUUGGAUGAAUGAAUGAAGUACUUCCUUCAUGCCAGGCACUGCAGUGAGCGCUUUACAUAUAACACCCCUAUGUGUUAUUCUCACAACAACCCUAUGAAUAGGUACAAUUAUAAGGUCCAUUUUCAUAUGAGGAAACUGAAACUUAGAGAGACUGAGUAAUAAUGCCCAAGAUCUUACAGAAAAGUGAGUGUCAGGACUAGAAUUGUAAAGUACAUUUCUUUGACGCUAUGUAAGAGUUUUGAAUGAUCGUAUCCUAGUGCUUCCUAGUUGGCAAAUGUGGGUGCACCUUCCCAAACCUCCCUCGCCCUGUUCCCUCCUGUCUGUUCUAUGGUCUCUCUUGCAUCCUCCGGAUCUCCUCCAAGCUGGGUAAUGGUCCAGGGCCAAGGAAUUGCUCAUGGAGGAGACUGGGCGGUCCUGGCGGCUUUCCUUUUUUCUAACUCAUGUUUCUGAGAAGCCCUUAGAAAAGCUGAUGGUGGGCAGACCAUGAUGAUGGUCAGCAUUGCGAUAGCAAUCCUGCCCUUUCUAUGCGCUCUUCUCAUUGCCUGCUGUGCCCCCAUAGCUUUGGGUUGCUCCCCGUUUUAGUGCCCCACUCAGGCCUCUCUCCCUGCCAUGCUCACCUCAGGGAGUUCCGAAUUUUUUUCCCUGACCUAAAUGUGCCUGUCCUGGAAAAUGUUCGUAAUAGAAUGGUAAGUGAAAAAAAGAUUAAAAAGCAAGGCAAACUAUUGUAUAAAUAGUUGCUGUGGGUUGAAUUGUGUCUGCACACUCCCAGUCCAUAUGUCGAAGUUCCUAAAUCCACAGUACCUCAGAAUGUUUCCUUAUUUGGAAAUAGGGUCAUUGUGAAUGUAAUUAUUCAAGUCAAAAUGAGGUCAUACUGGAGUAGGGUGGGUCCUUAUGCCAGGAUGACUAUUGUCCUUAUAAAAUGCCACGUGGAGAGCCAGACGUGCACACAGAGAGAGCACCCUGUGAAGGUGAAGGCACAGUCGGGAGUGAUUCAGCAAAAACCAAGGAACACCGGCAGCCAGAAAACCACCAGAAACCAGGGGAAAGGCCUGGAGCAGAUUCUCCCCCAAGGCCCUCAGAGGGGAUGGACCCACCAGCACCUUCGUCUCAGACUUCUAGCCUCCAGAGCCAUGAGACAAUACAUUUCUGUGUUUAAGCCACUCACAUUGGGGUACAUUGUUGUGUUAGCCCCAGCAAACUAACAGAAAUAGUAUAAUCACAAUUUUGUAAAUUAAAACAAACCCAUAUGUGUUAUCAAU